rnacentral:lncRNA from 1 species
CGGGCACCCGGAGGCGGCCCAGGCGGGGGUCUCCCCCGGGGCCUGGGGCGGGCCGAAGAUGUCCAGGCCUGGCCGGAGCCGCCUCCUGAUUGACGAGGCCCGCAUGGGAGUGCGGACGUGCAGCACAGAUUUGCGGGUCUCCUGGGCCUCUUGGGCGGUGAUCAGCGCGGACCUUGGGCCAACCGGGGAAGCAGGCCGGAGCACUACCCCCCACCCCCAUUUUAGAACAUCCUUCUGAGGGCUUCGCUGACCUCGGCUUGAACUCCUUCAGAGCCGGAGAGAUCACUCCUUCCACCACCGAGGGAGAGGAGGCAAAAUGAAUUUGCCAGCUUUGAAUUCAUUCUCAAGGCUCCGCUAGUCUCACAGCCAGUGAACUCAGUCUGGAAUUCCUGAAAGCUCAGAAAACUGCUGCUUAGGGAGGUAAUGGGGUAGAUUGGAUACCUCUGGGGUCUUGGAAGAAGCUAUGACUUAUUUACUGUCUACUAUGUGAAAUGACUGGACUCUUCUAUGGACCCAGUGGAGCUCAGACAAGGGUCCAGGCCCUGACACUGCCCCAGAGCAGGGGUGCCAGCACCUAUGAGGAUGCCAAGCUCAGGUCAUCGCCCUGCGGUGUCUCAGCCAACUGGGCCUCGAACAGCCCCAUAAACUUGGACAUAAACACAAUUAAAGUUUUUUAUUACAUUAUAUUUUGUACAUAUAAAAGACUAUUUGUAAGCCAUGAAACAUUACAAUGAAUGCUCAUGACUACUCUGCUGAAGAACUAGAGUAUUAGGGACACUUGUGAAGCUCCGACCUUCCCAGCCCCCUACUUCCCAGAAGGAGCCACUAUCCUAAUUGUCAUUACUCUCUGCUGUUUUUGUUUGUUUGUUUUUUAAGGAGUCUCAUUCUGUUGCCCAGGCUGGAGUGCAGUGGCGUGAUCUCGGUUCACUGAAACCUCUGCCUCCUGAGUUCAAGCGAUUCUCCUGCCUUAGCCUCCUGUGUAGUUGGGAUUACAGGUGUGCACCACCACGCCAGGCUAAUGUUUUGUAUUUUUAGUAAUGAUGAGGGUUCACCAUGUUGGCCAGGCUGGUCUCAAACUCCUGACCUCAGGUGAUCCACCCACCUCGCUUCCCAAAGUGCCGGGAUUACAGGCAUGAGCUACCACGCCCAGCCUCUCCCUGCCUCUUUUUAACAGAAAGUUU